rnacentral:snRNA from 1 species
AUCGCUUCUCGGCCUUUUGGCUAAGAUCAAGUGUAGUAUCUGUUCUUAUCAGUUUAAUAUCUGAUACGUCCCUAUCUGGGGACCAUAUUAUUAAAGAGAUUUUUGGAACAGGGAGAUGGAAGAAGAGCUUGCUCUGUACAUCCACGCAUCGACCUGGUAUUGCAGUCUCCAGGACCGUGGCACCUCUC